CUCGAGCAGCUUUGGGAAGGAGGCAUCCAUAGCCUCCCUGGGCAACCUAUUCCAGAGUCUCACUACUUUAAGAACCUCUUCCUCCUAAGAUCCAGUCUAAACCUACUCUCCCUCAGCUUCAAACCACUCCCUCUUGUUCUAGCACUAACCACCAUUAUGAAAAGUCCCUCUCCAGUCUUCUUGGAUGCUGCCUCCUUCACUGUGUGAUAAACAAAGACAAUAGGAACUUGUUGCUGUCACUCCCUCUCUCUGAUGUUGCCCUCAAGCACAGGAUGGCUGAAAUUUGGCGUAUGGCAAUGAAGACUACUUUGAAGCUAUCCCAUUGCAACAAUCAUGGGCUCGUUACAAGGCAAUUUGGAUCUCUUUGCACAGGCCCUUCCAGAGGGUGUAGGACGCCACAGGCUUGCUCCUGCAUGGGUGAACAUGGCCAGACAGGACCCUCUUGUACCCUCUUCCAGCCUCAUUGUUGCUAGACUUCACAAGCCAAGCUCUGCAGGCUCAGCUUGUAAAAUAACUUCCUCAGCCCUGGGCUGAAUUUAUUAUCCCAGAACAGAAGCAACCAGCAAGAUCUCACCAGCAUCUGGUGCUCCAGCCGUGAAUCCUUCCUAAUUCCCAAUGGAAACGUUCUUCCUGACAUGCCCCAGGACAGUAAUUAGUACCAGACUUGGCAGAGUUAGAGAAUGCUUGGACUCGAUGAUCUUAAAGGUCUUUUCUAACCGAGAUGAUUGUGUGAUUCUGUAAUGCCUUUUUUUCUGCCAUUAUUCUCUGCUCAGCUCAUCCAUCCUGGGCUUACAGCCCCCUCUGCUCUUGCAGAUCUCCCUUU